CCUUUAAUAUAGAACAAAUGAUACUAUUUUUCAAACUAAAUGAAACCUUUAAUAUUGAACAAAGAAAGAAACUACAAAAAAAAACUACAUACUUAAAAGAAAGAAACUACAAGUAUUAUUUUAAUAAAGAAAUUACAUAUUUAAAAUAAAGAAACUACAUACUUAAAAGAAAGAAACUACAAGUAUUAUUUUAAUAAAAAAAUUACAUAUUUAAAAGAAAAAAACUACAAAAAAAACUAUAUUUAAAAGAAAGAAACUACAAAAAAAGAAAGAAACUACAAAAAAAAAACAAAAACUACAAGUAUUACUUUAAUAAACUACAAAAAAAAAAACUACAAGUAUUAUUUUAAUAAAGAAAUUACAUACUUAAAAGAAAGAAACUACAUACUUAAAAGAAAGAAACUACAAGUAUUAUUUUGAAACUACAAACAAAAAGAAACUAUAUACUUAAAAGAAAGAAACUACAAGUAUUAAAAGAAAUAACAAAAUAAAUGAAACUAUAUACUUAAAAGAAAGAAACUACAAGUAUUAAAAGAAAUAACAAAAUAAAUGAAAUGAAGCCCAAAAUUUCGCUCC
rnacentral:lncRNA from 1 species